GUCCCCAUAGUUUAAUGGAUAAAAUGUAAGAUUGCGGAUCUUACGAUAGAAGUUCGAUUCUUCUUGGGGACA
rfam:Candidatus Staskawiczbacteria bacterium RIFCSPHIGHO2_01_FTLL_41_41 rifcsphigho2_01_scaffold_1825, whole genome shotgun sequence.